rnacentral:rRNA from 1 species
UGGGGAAUAUUGGACAAUGGGCGCAAGCCUGAUCCAGCCAUGCCGCGUGAGUGAUGAAGGCCCUAGGGUUGUAAAGCUCUUUUGUGCGGGAAGAUAAUGACUGUACCGCAAGAAUAAGCCCCGGCUAACUUCGUGCCAGCAGCCGCGGUAAUACGAAGGGGGCUAGCGUUGCUCGGAAUCACUGGGCGUAAAGGGUGCGUAGGCGGGUCUUUAAGUCAGGGGUGAAAUCCUGGAGCUCAACUCCAGAACUGCCUUUGAUACUGAGGAGCUUGGGUUCGGGAGAGGUGAGUGGAACUGCGGGUGUAGAGGUGAAAUUCGUAGAUAUUCGCAAGAACACCAGUGGCGAAGGCGGCUCACUGGCCCGAUGCUGACGUUGAGGCACGAAAGCGUGGGG